AAUCAACGCUGGCGGCGUGCCUCAGACAUGCAAGUCGAACGAUUAAACUUUCCUUCGGGAAAGAUAUAAAGUGGCGCACGGGUGAGUAACACGUAGGUAAUGUACCUUUGGGUGGGAAGUAACCAUCGGAACGAUGGCUAAUACCGCAUAAUGCAGCGGCAUCGCAAGAUGACAGUUGUUAAAGAUUUAUCGCCUAAAGAGCAGCCUGCGGCAGAUUAGGAGUUGGUAAGGUAAUGGCUUACCAAGCCUGCGAUCUGUAACCGACCUGAGAGGGUGGUCGGUCACACUGACACUGAAUAACGGGUCAGACUCCUACGGGAGGCAGCAGUCGGGAAUUUUGGGCAAUGGGCGAAAGCCUGACCCAGCAACGCCGCGUGAAGGACGAAGUCUUUCGGG
rnacentral:rRNA from 1 species